UUCCCCUACGGGGGGCAGCAGUGAGGAAUAUUGGUCAAUGGGCGCGAGCCUGAACCAGCCAAGUCGCGUGAGGGAAGACGGUCCUAUGGAUUGUAAACCUCUUUUGUCGGGGAGCAAAAGACGCCACGCGUGGCGUUCCGAGAGUACCCGAAGAAAAAGCAUCGGCUAACUCCGUGCCAGCAGCCGCGGUAAUACGGAGGAUGCGAGCGUUAUCCGGAUUUAUUGGGUUUAAAGGGUGCGUAGGCGGGAUGCCAAGUCAGCGGUAAAAAUGCGGUGCUCAACGCCGUCGAGCCGUUGAACCUGGG
rnacentral:rRNA from 1 species